AAUGCCACGUGUUAAAAAUCUAACCGUACUUUUGUUUACAAUGUGGGAUGUUACCAAAUCUCUACCCUCAAAACAACAAUAAUACAAAUAUCCGCCAAGAGAUCCAAAUUACUAAAUUAAAUUCCCACCAAUCACAUGGGUAACUGUUGCAAAGCUCAAUCCUCCACUCCGGUGAUGGAAGGCAGCCAUCCGACGACUCCCCCGUUCAAGAACCACCCUCAGAGAAGGAACCAAGAAGGUAGUUCUAAAGAGACUAAUUUGAGAGAGGUGAAAAUAAGGAUGACGAAGAAGGAGCUUCAAGAAUUGGUUGGAUGGUUAAACAUGGCGGAUUCUAGCUUUGAACAGGUUAUGGCUCGCCUUGUGAAUGUUAUUAACUAUCAAAAUGGUGAUAAUAAUAAUGACCAAGUUGUGAAAUUGCGUCAGCAACGUUCGUGGAGGCCUUCAUUGCAAAGCAUUCCUGAGAUGAUUUGAAGUAUUGCGCUGUUAUAUGACUUAUGAGAAGAGACCACGUUUAUCUUCAGAUCCAACCCAAAACAUAAUAUGGUAAAUUUAUUUAUUUUUUCUUUUCUAAAAAAUGUCGGUAAUGUCUUGCUCACAUGCCGCUCACGUGCCCUACAAUUAUUAUCUCAUUUGGGGUUUCACCUUUCUUUCACUACAAUUUUUUCUUUCCUUUUUGUUUCCAUUUAUAAAAUUAUGUACCCUUUUCCUUUUAUGAAUAAUUAUAAGAGUGAUUUUAUGUUUAUGAAAUACAGGGAUGUGGUCUACAAUUAUCUAGUUUUAUAAAGUAAUUGCAAAUAUAGUAUUAAAAAAAUAAAAAAAA